rnacentral:lncRNA from 1 species
CGCCGCUGCGCCGGGAGAAUCCCAAAAGUGUCACCAAACGCGGCUCCAGCCUUCCCUGGAAUAUCCCGGAUUUCUCAAAGGGCCCCGUGGCUUAGUGCGGGCACAGCUCUGGGGAUAUUUUCAAAAAAAAAAAAGGGGAACAUCACCGGGAUGUGAACCCUGAAAUCCCGAAGCUCCAUCCUUGGCUGCCGGCACCAAAAUUCCCAUGGAAUGGCUCCAGCACGGAACAACCCGCAGCAAACAACGGGCUGGGAGCGGCUUUUCCUUCCCAAAAUUUCCCGGGGAGUUUGGGAUGGAGCUGGAGCUCAGCAGGGCCACGGGCACCGCGGGGAGGGGACAGGAGGGGACACGGAGCGCAGCGUGCCCCACGCUGCCAGCAGCUCCAUCCUGUCCCAUCCUCAUGGAAUUCUUCUCCUUCCUGGAAGAGGAGCAGGACAAAGGGUUACAAGUAACACAAGGGACGGACGAAAGAAUGGAAGACGAGCACAAGGACCUCCAAAACAAAAAGAAAAACCAGUGGAUUGAAGCGUGUGGCACACUUGGAAUUUAUAGUGCAACAGCAAGCCAAGAACUCCACGUUCUGCGACACAAACAUGGCACCACUCAGACUUGGGACACGUGGCCUUGUCCCCCACAGGACACCACAGCACCAAAAACCAGAAAAAGGCUGAACUUCCAGGAGCUGGAACUCGAGCUGCUGGCCCUUGGAGCUGGGGGAUGGGGCUCUUUCCUCUUCCACGGACGUCAACGGCGGGACACAUCGAAGGAAAAGGGGGACACGAGGCUUGGCACUGCCCCAGGAGGCACAGGGACACAGCCAGCAGGGAGCUGGGGCUCCAGAGCAUCCCAGAGCACCCCAGAGCAUCCCAGAGCACCCCAGAGCACCCCAGAGCAUCCCAGAGCAUCCCAGAGCACUGCUCUCCGUGGGAACAGGCACAGAGAAAUCCAGGGAAAGGGACGAGGGGACAUCCCGGGGCGGCUCAGACAAAAAUCCACAGCGAAAGGCCACGAAUGCACCCGGAAUUUGAGCCCUUCCAGGGCCACAGCUGAGAGAACAAACUGCACAUUCUCUCCUGCCACCGAGCUGGGGCUGCUCCCGGCCCCAGCCAGGCACGUGGGUGUCGCAAGGACUGGGAUGCCGCUCCCACUCCCACGUCUCCCAUUCCGUUUCCCACCCACCCCGUGA